UGACGCUAUAAAAAGCCGCGGUCGCAUGCGCUCGUCGCAUUUCGCCGAACGCGGGGCUGAGCCAGGGCUACCGCGUUCCUGAGCUUUUGUGAUGGGAGAAGCCCUGCUCCGGGAAAACCUCGGCACCCUGGGCGGUCUACUCAGCUUCUGGAUCGAGCUUGAAGUUGGAGUGAAGUGGAGUGGAGUGGAGUGACGAUUCUGUUGCACGUACAGACUGAAACACUUCCUAUUACGAGUUUCUCCAUACGUAUUAGAUAGGCCCGGUUCCUCUCAUCACAAGACCUCCGCUGCAUGCCGCGUCCGCCUUGCAGCCGCUGCAAGAGCGGCCGCCACGCGGACGCCAAGCCACCGGCGACGUAGCUCAAGCCACCGCGCCGCCCUGUGGCCCCCUGGCCUGCGACGCCUGCCCCCGCUCAGUAGUAGGCGCCUCAGUAGCGGAGCACAGGUGUUGUGUGUAAUUAAAAUAGUAGUAGUAAUUCAAAAUAGUCUUAAUUCAAAAAAAAAAUAUUUUUAAGUAAUAAUGGAUAAAAUAGGUUCAAUUAAUAGUAUUGUUUCAAACAAGGGAUAAUAGGAGACGGCUGCACUUGUUGUAUUAUACCUAAGUAGAUAAUAGUAGAUAUAAAUAAUAGUAGAUAUAAUAAGUAAUAUAAUUAUAACAGAUUAGUGAAACUUAACUAAUAAUACAGCCAAUCACCGGACAAUGACACCACCGGACGAGACUUACCUACACACUGGAGUUUACAUUGUACAGCCAUUACUGACAAAAAUUUAUUUAAUGCGUACAUUUUGAGAUUACUCGCCACUUUUAGUUCUGUGUCAACUGUCAUAUCAAAAGUAGGUACGGUUCAUCUUUAAAUUAAAAUCGUAGUUUUGACAUGAGAGUUGGCACAUUGAGUUAAAAUGGCAAGUGUGAUCUCAAAGUGUAGCAUCCACUACUCUUAUUAGGCAAGCAAAGCAGUGCAUAAAUUUUUUUUAGUAAGGCUAUUUGGACUGAUUGUUCAGUCGCCAAAGAAUUUUUAACCAAGGGUUAAAGUUCUUUUCCGUCUAAGGGCUGAUUUUUUAAAUGGAGAUUGAAAAAUCAGCCUUAAAAUAACAAAUUAUUCGUUACCAAAAAUUUUUUAGCCACUAAACAAUGGGGGCAGCCCUAGUAGGUACCCUACUUGUGGCAAAUACGGGACAUAUCCACAGAAACGAACAGCUUCAGCUGGCGAUUUCAAUCAAUAAAAGUAUUAAUACACUUACUAUAAAUAGUAAAUAAUGUGUAAUUUUGUAAAAUAUACACCUAUUUAUAAAAAAAUGGGUGUUUUCGAUUAACUGUGACGCGAUGGAUUGUGGUAGCUACGCCUUGUUUUUACGCUCAAUUUGAAGUUCUCGUUAGCCCUUGACUUUUACGCUUAAGAUGAAGCUCUUUUGUCAGCCACUUGGAAUUUUGGUUUUCGAUUUUUUUUUUUAAGUUAAGUAGUUACAUAGGUAAAAAAUUGGUAUUCAAAAAAAUAUGUAUACUUAUAGGUGAUUCAGAGGACUCCACGAUGGCCCAGUAUUUUGUUUUUUUUUUUUACGCUCUUCGAGUUGCAGAGCAUUUUUGUUCGCCGUGAACUUGGCAUUUUGGUUCUAUAGUAUGAUUAGAAGCCCCGUUACAAUUUAUUAGCAGGGAAACGUUCCCCUUUUUUACGCUUUAGAUGAAGCUCUUUUGUCAGCCACUUGGAAUUUUGGUUUUCGAUUUUUUUUUUUAGUUAAGUAGUUACAUAGGUAAAAAAAUAGGUAUUCAAAAAAAUAUGUAUACUUAUAGGUGAUUCAGAGGACUCCACGAUGGCCCAGUAUUUUGUUUUUUUUACGCUCUUCGAGUUGCAGAGCAUUUUUGUUCGCCGUGAACUUGGCAUUUUGGUUCUAUAGUAUGAUUAGAAGCCCCGUUACAAUUUAUUAGCAGGGAAACGUUCACUUUUUUACGCUUUAGAUGAAGCUCUUUUGUCAGCCACUUGGAAUUUUGGUUUUCGAUUUUUUUUUUAAGUUAAGUAGUUACAUAGGUAAAAAAUAGGUAUUCAAAAAAAUAUGUAUACUUAUAGGUAAUUCAGAGGACUCCACGAUGGCCCAGUAUUUUGUUUUACGCUCUUCGAGUUGCAGAGCAUUUUUGUUCGCCGUGAACUUGGCAUUUUGGUUCUAUAGUAUGAUUAGAAGCCCCGUUACAAUUUAUUAGCAGGGAAACGUUCCCUUUUUUACGCUUUAGAUGAAGCUCUUUUGUCAGCCACUUGGAAUUUUGGUUUUCGAUUUUUUUUUUUAAGUUAAGUAGUUACAUAGGUAAAAAAUAGGUAUUCAAAAAAAUAUGUAUACUUAUAGGUAAUUCAGAGGACUCCACGAUGGCCCAGUAUUUUGUUUUUUUUACGCUCUUCGAGUUGCAGAGCAUUUUUGUUCGCCGUGAACUUGGCAUUUUGGUUCUAUAGUAUGAUUAGAAGCCCCGUUACAAUUUAUUAACAGGGAAACGUUCACUUUUUUACGCUUUAGAUGAAGCUCUUUUGUCAGCCACUUGGAAUUUUGGUUUUCGAUUUUUUUUUUAAGUUAAGUAGUUACAUAGGUAAAAAAUAGGUAUUCAAAAAAAUAUGUAUACUUAUAGGUAAUUCAGAGGACUCCACGAUGGCCCAGUAUUUUGUUUUACGUUCUUCGAGUUGCAGAGCAUUUUUGUUCGCCGUGAACUUGGCAUUUUGGUUCUAUAGUAUGAUUAGAAGCCCCGUUACAAUUUAUUAGCAGGGAAACGUUCCCUUUUUUACGCUUUAGAUGAAGCUCUUUUGUCAGCCACUUGGAAUUUUGGUUUUCGAUUUUUUUUUUUAAGUUAAGUAGUUACAUAGGUAAAAAAUAGGUAUUCAAAAAAAUAUGUAUACUUAUAGGUAAUUCAGAGGACUCCACGAUGGCCCAGUAUUUUGUUUUUUUUACGCUCUUCGAGUUGCAGAGCAUUUUUGUUCGCCGUGAACUUGGCAUUUUGGUUCUAUAGUAUGAUUAGAAGCCCCGUUACAAUUUAUUAGCAGGGAAACGUUCCCUUUUUUACGCUUUAGAUGAAGCUCUUUUGUCAGCCACUUGGAAUUUUGGUUUUCGAUUUUUUUUUUUAGUUAAGUAGUUACAUAGGUAAAAAAAUAGGUAUUCAAAAAAAUAUGUAUACUUAUAGGUGAUUCAGAGGACUCCACGAUGGCCCAGUAUUUUGUUUUUUUUUUACGCUCUUCGAGUUGCAGAGCAUUUUUUGUUAGCCACGAACUUGGCAUUUUGGUUCUGUAUAUUUUUUUAGGAGUCCCGUUACAAUUCAUCAGCAGUGAAACAUGUUACUAACAUUUUUUUACUCUAUUAUUAGCUUUAAGAAACACCGUUUGUUUCAUUUCUCAUUUUUUUCAGAUUCAGAUUCAGAUUUAUUUAUUUGCUUUCAUGUACAUUUACAUUAAUUGAUGGUGGGUGCUUAAAGCUAAAAGCUAAAUACAUGAGACCCUGUCAGGGCAUGGCAAAUACAAUUUUAGGUACAGUAAAAUGGUUAAUAUUAAAGAUACAAUAAGAAUAGGAUUAAAAUUAUUAAAAUUAUCAUUACUAGAUAUUAAAUAUUAUUCAUUCGCAUUCUUAUAUAUUAUUAUAUUAUGAGAAUGUCGACUAGAAUGUAUUAUAAAGCAAGAUUAGUACAAAAUAAAGAUAAGGUCAAAGUAUAGUAGUAUUAAAUAAUUGCUGUCAUGGUCUGAUUGUCUCUGUCAAUAGAAUAAAAUAUUUAAAAUAGUUACUGUAAGAAUUUAAUUUAGUUAUGUUGCAAUUAUUUAAUCUUACACGGUCUUAUAGUUAAAUGUCAAUAUCAGAUGUCAUUUACAGGUGCAUCACGCUAUUGAGGUUUAUGCAGUUAGAAAUUUUUACUUUAUUACACUUUUUUUCGUA